UUUACACAUGCAAGUCGAACGGUAACAGGUCUUCGGAUGCUGACGAGUGGCGAACGGGUGAGUAAUACAUCGGAACGUGCCUAGUAGUGGGGGAUAACUACUCGAAAGAGUAGCUAAUACCGCAUGAGAUCUACGGAUGAAAGCAGGGGACCUUCGGGCCUUGUGCUACUAGAGCGGCUGAUGGCAGAUUAGGUAGUUGGUGGGGUAAAAGCUUACCAAGCCUGCGAUCUGUAGCUGGUCUGAGAGGACGACCAGCCACACUGGGACUGAGACACGGCCCAGACUCCUACGGGAGGCAGCAGUGGGGAAUUUUGGACAAUGGGCGAAAGCCUGAUCCAGCAAUGCCGCGUGCAGGAUGAAGGCCCUCGGGUUGUAAACUGCUUUUGUACGGAACGAAAAGCCUGGGGCUAAUAUCCCCGGGUCAUGACGGUACCGUAAGAAUAAGCACCGGCUAACUACGUGCCAGCAGCCGCGGUAAUACGUAGGGUGCAAGCGUUAAUCGGAAUUACUGGGCGUAAAGCGUGCGCAGGCGGUUUUGUAAGACAGUGGUGAAAUCCCCGGGCUCAACCUGGGAACUGCCAUUGUGACUGCAAGGCUAGAGUGCGGCAGAGGGGGAUGGAAUUCCGCGUGUAGCAGUGAAAUGCGUAGAUAUGCGGAGGAACACCGAUGGCGAA
rnacentral:rRNA from 1 species